rnacentral:hammerhead_ribozyme from 1 species
ACGCAGCUGACGAGUCCCAAAUAGGACGAAACCCGAGUUUUGGAU